GAGUUUGAUCAUGGCUCAGGACGAACGCUGGCGGCGUGCUUAACACAUGCAAGUCGAACGGAGCGAAAUGGAAGCUUGCUUCUAUGGAGCUUAGUGGCGAACGGGUGAGUAACGCGUAAUCAACCUGCCCUUCAGAGGGGGACAACAGUUGGAAACGACUGCUAAUACCGCAUACGAUUCAACUUCGGCAUCGAGGAUGAAUGAAAGGUGGCCUCUAUUUAUAAGCUAUCGCUGAAGGAGGGGAUUGCGUCUGAUUAGCUAGUUGGAGGGGUAACGGCCCACCAAGGCGAUGAUCAGUAGCCGGUCUGAGAGGAUGAACGGCCACAUUGGGACUGAGACACGGCCCAGACUCCUACGGGAGGCAGCAGUGGGGGAAUAUUGGGCAAUGGGCGCAAGCCUGACCCAGCAACGCCGCGUGAAGGAGAAGGCUUUUCGGGUUGUAAACUUCUUUUGUCGGGGACGAAACAAAUGACGGUACCUGACGAAUAAGCCACGGCUAACUACGUGCC
rnacentral:rRNA from 1 species